rnacentral:rRNA from 1 species
CCUACGGGCGGCUGCAGUGGGGAAUAUUGGACAAUGGGCGAAAGCCUGAUCCAGCCAUGCCGCGUGUGUGAAGAAGGCCUUCGGGUUGUAAAGCACUUUCAGUGGGGAAGAAAGCCUUGGGGCUAAUACCCUCGAGGAAGGACAUCACCCACAGAAGAAGCACCGGCUAACUCCGUGCCAGCAGCCGCGGUAAUACGGAGGGUGCGAGCGUUAAUCGGAAUUACUGGGCGUAAAGCGAGCGUAGGCGGUCUGAUAAGCCGGUUGUGAAAGCCCCGGGCUCAACCUGGGAACGGCAUCCGGAACUGUCAGGCUAGAGUGCAGGAGAGGAAGGUAGAAUUCCCGGUGUAGCGGUGAAAUGCGUAGAGAUCGGGAGGAAUACCAGUGGCGAAGGCGGCCUUCUGGACUGACACUGACGCUGAGGUGCGAAAGCGUGGGUAGCAAACAGGAUUAGAUACCCUUGUAGUC